rnacentral:rRNA from 1 species
GACAUCCCGGAGACCUUAGGAACUAGGGGUGCUUCCAUCUGGAAGAAUCUGGAGACAGGUGCUGCAUGGCUGUCGUCAGCUCGUGUCGUGAGAUGUUGGGUUAAGUCCCGCAACGAGCGCAACCCUUGCCUUUAGUUGCCAGCAGUUCGGCUGGGCACUCUAAAGGGACUGCCGGUGUUAAACCGGAGGAAGGUGGGGAUGACGUCAAGUCCUCAUGGCCUUUAUGACCAGGGCUACACACGUACUACAAUGGCCGAUACAAAGGGCAGCGACACUGCGAGGUGAAGCCAAUCCCGUAAAAUCGGUCUCAGUCCGGAUUGGAGUCUGCAACUCGACUCCAUGAAGUUGGAAUCGCUAGUAAUCGUGGAUCAGCAUGCCACGGUGAGUACGUUCCCGGGCCUC